AGAUGACCAAUCAGAGCACAUUGCAAUUUUGAGAAGAAGGGGCUUCAUAGAGAAAGGAACUAAACAGAGAGUUUCUGGACAUUAAAACUACAGGUCUUCAUACAGCCGUAUGAGUUCUGCUAUGGUGCCAGUAUGCGUCACAAGUUUAGUGUUGUGGUGUGCUUUUGUGAAGACAGCGAGUACAAACGCGCAGGAGACAUGCUUCACUUGGAGGAGAGCAACAAACCAGCUCAAAACUAUCAUCAAGCUUGUUACUCUGAGUAACCCCAUGUUCUCCCAAGACCUCAAACAUCAUCUUUGCAUUUUCAUGGUAUUGGCGCUGACAGGUCUUUCGAUCAGAUGGCUUGGGUGCUGUGACAUAGAAAGGGCGAAGAGUGCAGAAAGAUGAAUAACUCAGACUAACGUCUGGGUGUUGCUUGGUGAACUCUUAGUGGAGGUUAAUCAUUGU